AGAAAUAAAAUAGCCUCAGGGAUUUUGUUAUAACACAAAAUGAACUAAGGCAUCUAUCUACUUGGGUGAUAUGGCUGAGCAGAGAACCGCAGAGAUGCACAAUACCAUAAAAUGUUAUUUUCCAAUUACAGGGCACAACAUAUGUGCAUAUCCUCUAUAACAUACAUAGCAUGAAAUGUUAAAGAACUAGGAAGUUGCAGGGUUUGAGUACCUGUUAUCUUUGACUUUAAUAGAACAUGGCACUUGUAACUUGAUUUUUAAUCUGGCUUUGUUUAACCAGCUUACAAAAUCCUCUUAAGUUCAGCACUCAAAUGCCAGGCCACAAGGAGGCUUCUUGGACCUAGCUCAGGUAGUGAGGGGCAGGAGGAAGGUAGAGAAAAAGAGGCCUGUGUGGAAAAUACAGAGACUAGGCCCUUGCUCCAGGAUGCCAACCUGUGGUAAAGCCAGAAGGAACAGAGAGGAAGCUUAGCCUGAUCUUGUAAGGGAGACCCUGAGAGAAGUCCCAACUCCCUGUUGGAGCUGUCAGGGAGCAAUGGCCACCUGCUUCACACUUCUCCCUUUGCCCGACCCACAUCCUGUUUACCACGAAAAUGUGGCUUCCAGAAGAGGUGACCUCAAGUCAAGUGGUGGAGCGGAGACCAGAACCGUGUCAGUUUCUGCCUGUGCCCAGCUCACCCUCCACAAAAAGACCUAUGGAGCCGUCUCCGAUCCCCCCACAUAAAGGCCACCCCUGUGUUCCUUCCUAUUCUGCAUCCUUGGUCUGGAAUGUAUUCACUUUGCUAGUUAUGGCCUGGGUUGUGCCCUAUCCUCUUGUGCCCUCAGAUGGCAGAGGUGGCUGUAAUUGCAGAUAAAGUCAGAAAAGAGCUCAUGCAGUUUACAGGUCUUUAAGGUGGUGCUCAGUCCACGUAACUGAUAUCCUUAUAAAGAGAGGGAGCUGGGACACAGGGAGGAACCACAGAACCACACACAGAGAUCCGUGUGAAAGCCAGCCACUUUCAAGGUAAGAGGCUCAGAAGAGAUGAGCCUGGCAACACCGUGAACUCUAACUCCUAGCCUUCAGAAUCAGAGACAGCAGAUUUCUGAUGUGUAAGCCACUUGUUCCAUGGAAUUUACUAUACAGUCUUGUAAAAAGUGUUUUUCCCCCCUAUUUUUUUGCUACUCUUUGAUAUAGGGUCUCACUAAGUAGCCAUAAUCCUCCUGCCUCAACCUCCUGGGUGUCAGGGUUAUAUACGUACCACCAUGCCUCACUUUCAUUGCUCUAGUCUUUUGUGUUUGUUGUUGUUAUUGUUGUUUUCUGUUCAUGUUUCGUUUCUGUUGUUUUGUGGACAGGGCCUUACUCUAUAGCUCUGGUUGGUCUGAAGUUUGAUUCCUACAAAGGCAAUCGCUACACAGACUAGGCAGGACUUAAACUUGUGGCCCUCAUUUUGGAUUAUGGGCAUGUGCCCUCAUUCCCUACAACCUAAUCUUAAUAAGUUAAUCACAUGCUUCUACAGGAAUGUUAACAAGAAAAGUCUCAAAGAAGGAAAAAUGACAAGCC
rnacentral:lncRNA from 1 species